rnacentral:lncRNA from 1 species
UUAAUGACAAUGGAACUUUCCAAACCUCACAUGGAGUGGAAUUGCACCAGUGUGAGACAGACAAAACAGAUAGGUCUAUGUUUAAGUUGGGAUCUUUAAACCCCUACAUUCAUCAUACCAAGUGUGGUUUAUUUUGAGAGAUACAUCACAGAUGAGUUUUUACUACAAGCACAGUGAUAAAAGUGUCACUGCAGUCCAGCCAUCUGAAAAUGGAGUCCUGUUUCAGUGGGUGGCCACUCAUUAGGAUCAGGGUAAGGGUCAAGGGUCAACACACAUGGUCAAGUGGGCAGAAGCCAUGUUCCCCUGAGUCUAUGGUCAGGACCUUCAGACAAACUGAGACACUAAAGAGCAGACCAGACACUGCAUGUGGUCUUGAGGAGAAAGUGUUGUAUUAAAUACGAUAUUACUGCUUUAUUGCUGUGUUAUUAAUGUCAUUAUGUCUGCAAAUACAACAUAUCCAUUUUUUAGGUACUGUAGCCCUCAAAAUCUAGGAGAUAUGAGAGGACUUUGUAUCUGGAUUCUGAGAGUUUCCAUGCUUCUGCUGCUGCUCAGGCCAUAUCCCCUGGAUUGCCAACUCACUAUAGACCACAGGAAGGUCAGUAGAGUGGCUGGGGGUCAGCAGACGGGAGAAGGGGAGCAGGGAGGGGGUUGUGCUGGGUGGAGUUUUA